GGUAGGAAUACCCGCUGAACUUAAGCAUAUCAAUAAGCGGAGGAA
rnacentral:rRNA from 1 species